GACGAACGCUGGCGGCGUGCUUAACACAUGCAAGUCGAGCGGUAAGGCCCUUUCGGGGGUACACGAGCGGCGAACGGGUGAGUAACACGUGGGUGACCUGCCCCUUAGCUCUGGGAUAAGACCUGGGAAACUGGGUCUAAUACCGGAUAUGACUCCAUGACGCAUGUUGUGGGGUGAAAGCCUUGUGCGGCUAGGGAUGGGCCUGCGGCCUAUCAGCUUGUUGGUGGGGUGAUGGCCUACCAAGGCGACGAC
rnacentral:rRNA from 1 species